GCCUGGGUGGCUCAGUUGGUUGAACGUCUGACUUCAGCUCAGGUCAUGAUCUCACAGUUUGUAGGUUCGAGCCCCACGUCAGGCU
rnacentral:tRNA from 1 species